rnacentral:rRNA from 1 species
UACGUAGGGGGCAAGCGUUAUCCGGAAUUACUGGGUGUAAAGGGUGAGUAGGCGGCAUGGUAAGCCAGAUGUGAAAGCCUUGGGCUUAACCCGAGGAUUGCAUUUGGAACUAUCAAGCUAGAGUACAGGAGAGGAAAGCGGAAUUCCUAGUGUAGCGGUGAAAUGCGUAGAUAUUAGGAGGAACACCAGUGGCGAAGGCGGCUUUCUGGACUGAAACUGACGCUGAGGCACGAAAGCGUGGGGAGCGAACAGG